AACCGUGCAAAGGUAGCGUAAUCACUUGUCCUCUAAAUAAGGACCCGUAUGAAAGGUUAAUUGAGGAUAAAACUGUCUCCUGCGACCAAUCAAUGAAACUGAUCUCCCAGUACAAAAGCUGGGAUAAACACAUAAGACGAGAAGACCCUGCGGAGCUUUAAGCCACACUACUGCCACACCAAACACACCAACCAAACCCUGGGUCACAAACAAUGUAACAGUAUUAACUUUUAGUUGGGGCGACUGCGGAGAAAAUAUAACCUCCAUGAAACCAGGCUAACAGCCACCACAAGACAUACGUGUCAAACGAUUAAAUAUNUCGACCCAGCACAGCUGAUUAACGAACCAAGUUACCCCAGGGAUAACAGCGCCAUCCCCCUCAAGAGUCCAUAUCGCCAGGGGGGCUUACGACCUCGAUGUUGGAUCAGGACACCCAGAUGGUGUAGCCGCUAUCAAAGGUUCGUUUGUUCAACGAUUAAUGUCCUACGUGAU
rnacentral:rRNA from 1 species